GAUGAACGCUAGCUACAGGCUUAACACAUGCAAGUCGCGGGGCAGCAUGGGGGUUGCUUGCACUCCCCGAUGGCGACCGGCGCACGGGUGAGUAACGCGUAUUCAACCUGCCCUUCACCACGGGAUAACCCGGCGAAAGUCGGACUAAUACCGUAUGUUGUCCAUUGACGGCAUCCGAUUUGGACGAAAGGCUUGGCGGUGAGGGAUGGGGAUGCGUCCGAUUAGCCAGACGGCGGGGUAACGGCCCACCGUGGCUACGAUCGGUAGGGGUUCUGAGAGGAAGGUCCCCCACACUGGAACUGAGACACGGUCCAGACUCCUACGGGAGGCAGCAGUGAGGAAUAUUGGUCAAUGGGCGUAAGCCUGAACCGGCCAAGUAGCGUGCAGGAGGACGGCCCUAUGGGUGGUAAACUGCUUUUAUGCGGGGAUAAAGUGGCCCACGGGUGGGCUUUUGCAGGUACCGCAUGAAUAAGGACCGGCUAAUUCCGUG
rnacentral:rRNA from 1 species